CCUACGGGUGGCUGCAGUGGGGAAUCUUGGACAAUGGGCGAAAGCCUGAUCCAGCCAUGCCGCGUGUGUGAAGAAGGCCUUCGGGUUGUAAAGCACUUUCAGUGGGGAAGAAAGCCUUGGGGCUAAUACCCUCGAGGAAGGACAUCACCCACAGAAGAAGCACCGGCUAACUCCGUGCCAGCAGCCGCGGUAAUACGGAGGGUGCGAGCGUUAAUCGGAAUUACUGGGCGUAAAGCGCGCGUAGGCGGUCUGAUAAGCCGGUUGUGAAAGCCCCGGGCUCAACCUGGGAAGGCAUCCGGAACUGUCAGGCUAGAGUGCAGGAGAGGAAGGUAGAAUUCCCGGUGUAGCGGUGAAAUGCGUAGAGAUCGGGAGGAAUACCAGUGGCGAAGGCGGCCUUCUGGACUGACACUGACGCUGAGGUGUGAAAGCGUGGGUAGCAAACAGGAUUAGAUACCCGUGUAGUC
rnacentral:rRNA from 1 species